ACUCAUGGACAGUAGCGUUCAGCAACAGAAGAGAUUUUGGAGGGGGCGGGGUGGGGAAUAAAACUAGAAAUGUCAGAAAUAAAAGUUGCACGAAGUAUUCUGAUCUAUACAAUUUUUUCUUCAUUUUAACUUUUUAUUUUUUGGGUUGUUUCUGUUUUUCUACCCCCGCAGGCGUUGAGCUGUGUUGGUUUUGUUUUUCGGGUUUUUUUUUUUUUUUUUUUUGUUUUGGGUUUUUUUUAUUGAAGCAAGACUAUCUUCCCUCAAAGCUCCUGUGCUGCAUUGCUGUUGGUAUGCCAAGCUUCCCCCUGGUUACCUGAGCUGCUACUGUUGCUGCUUCUGAUUCCCUGCCACUGCUUCAUCCUGGCACAUCCGAAGCGAGUCAUCCAUCUGCACAGCGUUCAAGAAGGAGCUGCCCACGGAACCCUGGCCACCGUCUCCUGUUCUUGCUGGGAGAGAAGGGUCCAUGGACCUGGGUGAAGCUGCAGAAGAUAUGGGGUUGGUUGGGUAGGAAGCGAAGGGAUGGGCAAAGGGAAGCUUAGAUAUGUUAUACUGUGCCAAUGCCAACUAAUCCACUUCACGACAAGGGCACCAGCAAUACUCUCUCAGCCUGUGCUGUUCAAAGGGAUUAGUCUGGGGAAAACCAUGCAGAGAUGCGGUGGCACUUUACCUCAGAGUGGUGCUGAAGAUGGAUAAAUAAGUAUGUCCCUGGAAGUAUUCUGGAGAGAGUGACAAGACUUACACAUGCAUGGAAAAAUCAAUACUUAAAAGGCAGUAUUUCAUUGGGACAUCAUGAAGCAGAAUUACAUGAAGAGUGGAGCUGGAUUGAAAGUUGAAGAAAGCAGAGGCAGAAGCAAAGGACAAAACUGCAAGAGCUCUUGGAACCAAGCAGAGAGAUAGGCCUCAACUAACCAGGAUAUUUUGGAAGGAGAAAUAAACAUUUGUAUUUUUACCAGCUGGAUGCAUUCGGGAUAAUUAUUGAUCUGAACUGAUACUAAGGCUGCCUCCAGGAAAACCUCCCCCGAGAAACCUACCCUCUCCCCCAGAGAGAACUAUUCUACUUUUUUAGAAGAAAAAGAACACAUUUUGGCCUGUUGUUGGAGAUCAAAUUUUUUUGUUUAAGUCUGUUUUUUUUUCUUAGAAACAGAUGGAAUUCCUCUAUUUCAUUAAAUGUCCAUCUUCUUCCAUGGAAAAAAAUACUCAGCUUAGCUGGGUAGUUUAUUCUUGGCUACAUUCCAAGAUCUUUUGCCUUUCAGAAAAUCUGAUUCCAGGCCCUUCGAUCCUUUAAUGUUGAGGCAGCCAGAUCUUGCAUGACCCUUAUUGUGGUAUCUCGGUAUUUGAACUAUUUUUUCCUGGCUGCUUGUAAAUUUUUUUCUUUAGUCUGAAAUUUCUGAAGUUUGGCCACAAUAUUCCUCGGAGUCUUUAUUUUAGGGUCUUUUUCAGAAGGUGUUUGAUGAAUUCUUUCAAUGCUUAUUUUCCCUUCCGGUUCUAUUACUUCUGGGCAGUUCUCUUUGAUGAUUUCCUGUAGUAUCUUUUUUUAAUCAUAAUUUUCAGGUAGUCCAAUGAUCCUCAGGUUAUCUCUCCUAGAUCUAUUUUCCAGCUCUGUUGUUUUUCCAAAUAAAUAUUUGACAUUUUUUCCAAUCUUUCAUUUUUUUGGUUUUGCUUGACUGAUUCUUGAUGUCUCAAUGAAUCAGUGAUUUCUCUUUGUUCAGUUCUGAUUUUUAGUGUGUUAUUUUCUUCAUUAGCUUUUUUUACUUCUUUUUGUAUAUGUCCAAUUGAGUUGUUUUGCUCUAUAGAAUUUUUUUCCAUUUCACUAAUUUUUUUUUUUUUUUAGUGAGUUAUUUUCUUUUUCCAAUUCACAAAUUCUGUUUCCCUGCACUUCUUGGGAAUUUUUUAUCUUUUCCAAUUCACAUUUUAGGAAGUUGUUGCUCUCUUGCAUAGCUUCUCUUUCCUUUCCCCUUGAUAUUAUUCUAAAUGAAUAGGAGUAUGGUGAAGAGACUAUAUGGAAGUAGAUAGAGAGCUUACAAUAAGAAAACUCUAUGCUAAAGUUUUUCACCUAACCCAUACUGCCUGAUUGAUUCUAGGCAAGAUUCAACAUCUUAUUAUC